rnacentral:rRNA from 1 species
GAUGAACGCUGGCGGCGUGCCUAAUACAUGCAAGUCGAGCGAACAGACGAGGAGCUUGCUCCUCUGACGUUAGCGGCGGACGGGUGAGUAACACGUGGAUAACCUACCUAUAAGACUGGGAUAACUUCGGGAAACCGGAGCUAAUACCGGAUAAUAUAUUGAACCGCAUGGUUCAAUAGUGAAAGACGGUUUUGCUGUCACUUAUAGAUGGAUCCGCGCCGCAUUAGCUAGUUGGUAAGGUAACGGCUUACCAAGGCAACGAUGCGUAGCCGACCUGGGAGAGGGAUCGGCCACACUGGAACUGGAACACGGUCCAGACUCCUACGGGAGGCAGCAGUAGGGAAUCUUCGGCAAUGGGCGAAAGCUUGACGGAGCAACGCCGCGUGAGUGAUGAAGGUCUUGGGAUCGUAAAACUCUGUUAUUAGGGAAGAACAAAUGUGUAAGUAACUGUGCACGUCUUGACGGUACCUGAUCAGAAAGCAACGGCUAACUACGUG